rnacentral:rRNA from 1 species
AACGAACGCUGGCGGCAUGCCUAACACAUGCAAGUCGAACGUGAUCCAGGCUUCGGCCUGGUGAAAGUGGCAGACGGGUGAGUAACGCGUGGGAACCUGCCCUGUGGUAGGGAAUAACCGUGGGAAACUGCGGCUAAUACCCUAUGAGUCCUUCGGGAGAAAGAUUUAUCGCCAUAGGAGGGGCCCGCGUCGGAUUAGGUAGUUGGUGGGGUAACGGCCUACCAAGCCUUCGAUCCGUAGCUGGUCUGAGAGGAUGAUCAGCCACACUGGGACUGAGAUACGGCCCAGACUCCUACGGGAGGCAGCAGUGGGGAAUAUUGGACAAUGGGGGCAACCCUGAUCCAGCAAUGCCGCGUGGAUGAUGAAGGCCUUCGGGUUGUAAAGUCCUUUCGGCGGGGAAGAUGAUGACGGUACCCGCAGAAGAAGCCC